rnacentral:misc_RNA from 1 species
AAGUCGUAACAAGGUCUCCGUAGGUGAACCUGCGGAGGGAUCAUUAAUGAGAACUUGCCCUAACGGGUAGAUCUCCCACCCUUUGUUGUUAAAACUACCUUGUUGCUUUGGCGGGACCGCUCGGUCUCGAGCCGCUGGGGAUUCGUCCCAGGCGAGCGCCCGCCAGAGUUAAACCAAACUCUUGUUAUUUAACCGGUCGUCUGAGUUAAAAUUUUGAAUAAAUCAAAA